rnacentral:rRNA from 1 species
GAUGAACGCUGGCGGCGUGCCUAAUACAUGCAAGUCGAGCGAACGGACGAGAAGCUUGCUUCUCUGAUGUUAGCGGCGGACGGGUGAGUAACACGUGGAUAACCUACCUAUAAGACUGGGAUAACUUCGGGAAACCGGAACUAAUACCGGAUGAUAUUUUGAACCGCAUGGUUCAAAAGUGAAAGACGGUCUUGCUGUCACUUAUAGAUGGAUCCGCGCUGCAUUAGCUAGUUGGUAAGGUAACGGCUUACCAAGGCAACGAUGCAUAGCCGACCUGAGAGGGUGAUCGGCCACACUGGAACUGAGACACGGUCCAGACUCCUACGGGAGGCAGCAGUAGGGAAUCUUCCGCAAUGGGCGAAAGCCUGACGGAGCAACGCCGCGUGAGUGAUGAAGGUCUUCGGAUCGUAAAACUCUGUUAUUAGGGAAGAACAUAUGUGUAAGUAACUGUGCACAUCUUGGCGGUACCUAAUCAGAAAGCCACGGCUAACUACGUG